UGCUGGUGCUCGCGCCGGGCCUGCCUGAGGGGGCGGCCGUGGCGAGGGGGCGGCGGUGCCGGGGGAUCGCGGCGCUGCCCCGGUGAGAGCCUCCGGAACGCGAUCUGCCCCCUCCCAGCUGAGAACCACAGCAUGGGCCAGGCUGGAAGGGACCACAGCAGGUCAUGUGGUCCAACCUCCCUGCUCAAGCAGGGUUAUCCCAGAGCACAGAAUUGCGUCUGAAUACCUCCAGCGAGGAAGACUCCACACCCUCUCUGGGCAACCUGUUCCGUUGGGCUUCCACAGCUGUGUGAAAUCCAUUCCGCACUCUGGCCCAGCAUGGAAAGGAAGACAAGCCAAAGGAAGAAUGACCCAAACCAAUCUGCUGAAGGGCUACUAAUGUGCACUAAUGUGUCUUGACAGCACUCUUCCCACUGACCAUAAAGGUACCUGGGAUGGCCUCAUUAUUCUAAAAUUAGAUCUGUAAGUAGUUCCCCUUCCUCUCUCUCAGUUCUCUAUUUGUGGCAUUUGCAUCUGAAUUCUUACCUAUCUUGUAGGGCUUAUAAAAGGAGAAAUUAAAACUUUGCAGUCUUUAAGGUUUAUGACCUAGGACUGCCCAAGUAGUUAAGGUUGCAUCCCUAAUGCUGAAUUGAUCAGACACCAAAUAGAACUCGCUACCAAGCAUACGAAACCUCACGUAUUUGAGUUUUCAUUGCCAAGACAUACCAAGUUCUCUGUGGGCACUGGAGACAGCAGCAUAUGUAAGACUUCACCAAUGGUUUAAGCCUUUUGCAGUACAACAAUUAAGCUCUUAUACCACUGGGCCCAGUGAGCUUUACCAUCCUUCUUGGAAAUAGGAACAACUGUGGGAAACACUGAUGCUAUCGUAGUCACUUGAUUAAGACUGAAUUGGUUAUCAAUGCAUGAAAAUCUUGGUUAGAUUUGACUGACAGUUCAGUUUUAAACCACUAGUAAACUUCAGUGAAAGAUUUCAAUAAAGAUGGCAGGGUAGGAGCAAUAUUAGAGUGAAAGGCUCAAGUUAACUCUACAAUAAGCACAUUUAGAUUAUGUUGAGUCUGCUUGGUGCUGUGCAGAAGACACAACAGAGAACAGAACUUGCUAAAUCUGGUUGCUUUUGCUCUGCUAUGCUCUCUAGCCAUUUUUUGCACAUUUUACUUCUCAAUCUGCUUUUGAUGUGGCAAAGGACAACAUAUUCAGCACAUGGUAAACUUUUUUUGAGUAAGCCUGAACUGCAGUUUAACCCUUACAAACAAAAGUCACAGCCCAAGGGUCUCAGAAGGCCUUGUAAGAAAGGCAGAGAUAUUGGCAGGGGCUUUUUUUGUCAAAUAAAGAGUAAAAUGGGGAAAUAAAAAAAUUUUCUUACUUGCACUGUAACUGUUCCAGCAAUAACCAUGUAUUUAGAAGAUUUAGCAAAUAAAGUUAGAUGGGCCAGUAAGUAAGCAGAGAAUUACCAGACAUACUGUUGAGCAGCAAUAUUUAAAUGCACAUGUGCCUUGAUAUGCAACAGGGUAAGGGACAAGAAAUGCUUUUUUAAAAGGAGAGUCUUAGACUAAGAACCUCAGAUUUGCUUUGAAUUGCUACAAGAAAGGGACAAGAUGAGUGGAAUUUGCUGAACCAGAACCACCAAAGGGUUAAUUAAUCAAGAGAGAUAACAGUCACCACAAUUUUUGCUGUGGAAGGCUCAUUCAUACUUUGUCAGAUAAAUUCUUUGCGUUCCCAGCCAACUUACAGACUCUUAAAUCUGUGCAUCCAGCAGCUCUACCUGAAUACCUAGAGCUUUCUCCUCCCAUUUUGUCAAUGACUGUCUCUUUUCUAUUGUAUCUUUUUCGUCCCUGAUGACUUAAUUUCUGACAUACUCUUGCCUAGUGACCACAAACAUCUGUGAUGUUUAAUUCAAAGGCCAGUAGUUUUAAUCUUGAGCAAUGUUCCCAUUGCAGGAAACACCCAAAAUAUGGCAAUUCUUGAAAUCAGGAAACUUUGCAAGUGGUUUAGAUGUCCUUGACUGAGGCAACAACACUCUAGACUACAUUACAAAUUCUUCAAAGUAUUCUUUAUGAUGUUGAGAAAAAUCUGUGGAAAGGUGAAUUCUGUGCAAACUAUGACUCUUUAGCCACAGAAUCAUAAAGACAUUUAGUGAUUCAUUGUCUUUGGCAAGACUAUCAGUGUUGAUUCAGCUGCUGUUUUCAAUGGCAAAGACUGGUACUUUCAAGCUCAAGCCUUAAGUCAAAGAGAAUAAAGUCUUUUUAAAAUAGUGAAGAUGGAACUUAAUGCAAAGAUGUCUUGAUUAUUCCUCAUGCUAGUUAAAUCAGAUUUACUUUGCCAGCAAUCACAGUCAUGAUUAUUGGAAGAGUUUAUUUAAUAAGCAAUAAGAAACCACAACAGCAAAUUACAGUUUCAUUCAGAAAAUUGAAAGAGGCUGAAAUAGGGUAUCUCCUUUUUUUCUGGGCAGCUGUUUCCCAAGAUGAGCUAAGCUUAGAAAGGUAACAGAGCUCAAAGCACAAACAGAUUGCUGCAGCUGUCAGGGUCCUGAUUGUACGAGGCACCUUCUAAUGACUCUAAUUAGGUUAUUUACCCUGGAUUCUUUGAGAAAAAAAAAAUCAAAGCAGUGACUGUUACCAUUAAAGCAAUCCUCUCCAGUCUGCAAAACCGGACACUGGGAACUGGCUGCGAUUGCUUAUUGACCAUGCAUUUGGUGUGACAUGGACACAACAGACUUCUGGCUUACAGCCUGCACACCAGAUCACCCCCAUCAGGGCACAGAUCAGAGCACAACUGUCACUUCAAGGCACUGAACACUUCUUAUGCUCCCAAGCAGCAUUGUCCCUCUUGUCUCCACCUCCUAGAGACCACACUACUGACUGAUAUUCAGUUUGCCAACAACCAGGACCCCUCCAGGUCCCUUUCUGCAGCACUGCUCUCCAGCCUCUCAUUCCCUAGUCUGUCUGUACAUCCAGGGUUGCCCCAUCCCAGGUGCAGAAUCCGGCACUUUUCUUUUAUUGAACUUCCUAUGGUUGCUGAUUGUCCAGUCCUCUAAUUUAUCAAGGUCUCUCUGCAGGGACUCCCUGCCUUCCAGGGAGUCAGCAGCUCCUCCCAGUUUAGUGUCAUCUGCAAACUUGCUCAGGAUCCCUUCCAGUCCUGGGCCCGAGUCCUUUAUGAAGAUGUUGAAGAGCACAGGGCCCAAGAUGGAGCCCUGAGGAACCCCACUAGUGACAGGUCACCAGUCUGAUGUCACCCCAUUCACUCUCACCCUCUGUGCUCGACCCAUGAGCCAGUUGUUCACCCACCACAUGAUGUGUUUAUCCAGCUGUGGGCUGGACAUUUUGUCCAGAAGGAUCCUGUGAGAGACAGUAUCAAAAACUGUACUGAAAUCCAAACAGAUUACAUCAACUGGCUUCUCCCUUGGUCAGCUAGGUGACUUAUGUUGUCAUAAAAGGAAAUCAGGUUCAACAAGCAGGACUUUCCCCUCAUGAAGCCAUUUUGGCUGUGACCAAUGACUGCAUUGCCCUCCUGGUGUUUUCCAGUAACUCCUGGAGUAAUCUUCUCCAUAAUUUUACCAGGCACUGAAGUGAGACUGACAGGCCUGUAGUUUCCCUGGUCAUCCUUCUUGCCCUUCUUGAAUACUGGGACAACAUUAGCCAGCUUCCAGUCAACUGGGACCUCUCCAGAUUCCCAAGGCCAUUCAGAAAUCAUUGAGAGAGGUCUCAUGAUGACCAGCCAGCUCUUUGAGUACUCUUGGAUGAAUCCCAUCAGGCUGCAUAGACUUAUAGGAAUCCAGCUGUAGAAGCAAAUCUUGCACAAAUUCUGGGUUGAUUGGGAGUUUGUAAUUCUCACAGUCAUGAGAAAUCAGUUUAACACAGAACAAAGAGUCAAACAUACAAAUGAUUUAGUGAUCUGCUCAGAAUACUUCUUCGUGACGUGGAAUUCCUCCAAGUACAGUAAACACUGCAAAUUCCAGGUUUUGGAUACAACUGCUCAGGGCUAGGUUGUAAAAGAAAAAUCAGGAGUUAUGAUUGUAACGUUAGAUCUUAAUUACAAGGCAGAUUUUUCAAAGCUAUUUCCCACUUCAGCACUCCCACCCCUCUCCAGAGCCUUCUAACCUUUUAAGGCUGCGAAGAGAUCAUUGAAGUCCUACAGCUGUACCUGAGCAGAAUUCUCUGUGUUUGGAAGGCUGUCUACAGAAAGGAGCUUUUAUGAGGCUUCUCAUAUAUACACCAGUCACUGAAUUAGCUCUUGGAACCCAGACGCAGAUUCUUCCUUGUGUACUAUAAAACAAGGAAACGUGAAUUAUUACACUAAGUGGAGUAUUUUUAAGAACUGGGAGGGGAGUUAUAGUAUGUUAGUAAAUAUAUUAUGCUCUUAUUUAUAUUAAUUGCCAUUAUUAACAGGCCAUAACAUCUUUCAGUUUGGGUGACCUGGAGCUAUAAAGCCACCAGCUGAGAAUUAUAACUGUCACUGCAAGACAUCAAUUGGUCAUAAAAAUAGUCAGAGUCAUUUUUGCAAAACUCACUCUGGAUCCUGCUCUCCUGUAAAAACUUUUUUCAUUUCCCUCUUAAUACUCUGAUACUAAACCACAGGGUUCACAAACUUAUGAUAGAAGGAAAGUUUUUUGUCAUGUCAGUCUUCUGGGAGGAAAAAAAACAUCCCCAAUUUUUUAAUCCUGCAAAAGAGAUUGUCCCACAUUAUAAAAAGUAGUUCAUUAAGUAUUUGAGGGAUGGUUUGACUUCUCCUUUCUGGCACUGGCUCUGUAGUGGAUGCCAAGGAAUGGACAAGCACUUCUGGGACAGGAUCUGUUCACUGUGCCAAAGGAUUUUAAAUGGAGGAGUUUGACUAGAAGGUCUGAUUCUUACUGCUUUAGCUCCCACUACUCCCAGAGUUAUUACUACACUGCUACCACUUACAAGGAUGAAAGAAAAAAUGUGACUAAGAAACCUAAAGAAAUCCUGGUUUGUUCCUUUCGAAUGUAUUGCCAGUGCAAAACACUAGAGGUGUGGAUUUCAUUCCUGUAUCAACAGCUCUCACAAAAGCUUCUGUUACAGUUAGUCCUUACAACUGAAAGUGGACCUGCAGGAGCUUCUAGGUGUUUGAGUCCUUGAUCAGGUACCUGGCUGAGUUGAUUCUGCUGCUUGUUCAGCUUCAUCCAGAGUACACUGCAGUAUGAGGCAGGCAGCAUCCCUCAAAGGGAGCAAUACACACUGCAUUUUAGUUACUGUGAUAAAACUGGGUUAGGACAGAAAAUGUACAUGAAAAUUCUCAGGAACAACACAAAAAUCUUCAGUUACCUAAAAACAAAUAACAUGUUUUGACUUUGCAUAACAACAUCAUUCAGUAGCAUUUUAAAGAAAGACUUCUCUUUUUUAAACUUUUACUUCUUCUGUCUUACCCUUUCAGUAAGCUUUCAAUACAAGAGCAAAAAAAGCAUUUCAUAAACUGGGCUUGACAGAAUAUUAAGGGAAGGUGAAUGAAGCUGAAAAAAGUUUGGCACAGGGGCCUUCCAUCAGGAAUUAAUGCAAAUAAAAAAAAAGGCAAAUUAUGGAAAUAGUUUUAUUUGAGGAGAUAAAACAAGUUAUAUCCAGUUGCCUUCCAGUGCAAACCAGAAGGACUUUUCAAAUUUACUGCUGUAUAUGAGAAAUCAAUUUCAGAGAGAAAAGGAAGUCAAGUUUACCUACUUAUUUUGAAAUAAAGGGAGAAACAGAAUUAAUCUCAUUUACAGAUGUAAUCAGCUCAGCUUAAUUUUUAAUCAGUCAUUAAAAAUACCAUUUAGGAAGAACUCACCCCUUUUAAACAGGUUAAUAAAAAAUUAAACUUAGUGGGAAGUUCAGCAUGCUUCAUGAUACUCAAAAAAUACAGGGCUUCAUAUUUUAUAUAAUAGCUUUAUUAUCAAAUAAAGAGAGACACUUAGUAAUGAUGUCAUGCAGGUAUCACAAAAAAUUCCAGAAGAUAAACAGGUCACCUAACAGCUCAAAAUCCCUUGCAAUUAAAAAACAAAGCUACAUCUUUCUGAUUUCCUGGUAAGUUUCUUGGUAGCCGCUGUUUUUCUGCCAAAAUGUUACAGCUCUCUCUCGGAUCACUUGCUGGAUUCCCUACAGGAAAGAGUAGGCUAGUACAGUAUUCCACAGCACAGUGCUUUUCUUUGCCUUUUUCACAAGGCCUGCCUUACUCUUCAAAACCCUCAGAACUCUUCAUGGGGUAGGGAACCACUUCAGGCUGUUGGCAGCUGAAGAUAAACAUGGAAGGGACAGGUUAAAAAAAUGCUAAGGUUUUGAAAAAAUAAAGAACCUUAUUUUCAACCUUUUUAAGGUUUUAAGGCUUUUAGUCAUUGUGAUGGGAACUCAGUCUUAUGGCUCAAACACAGGUUUUGAGUAACAAAGCCUGAUCCCAUCUACACAGUGAAACAGAACUCAGUGAAAAAGUCAAGUGAUAGCAUAGUUAGAUUGAAACAUAGCUCAGUUCCUUCUUUAGUGUCAAGGUUCCACCAAAACAUUGGCUUUACACAGCAUAGAAGGGAUUUUACAACAGCAUCUGUUAUUGACCAGAAAUUUAGACAAAAGCCACUGGACAGUAAGUAGUAGGUAAUUUAUUCUAAGAGCUCAUCUGCAUGAAAAAUUAACUAUGCAGAAAAGCAGGCUGUAAAUCUACAGCAGCUUCAUACUCAGUAGUCCAGGGGACCCUUGCUCACACAGCUAAAUUCACACUCAGAGUUACUAUGGAAUAAAUCCCUUGGGUAGAGGAACUCUGGAGAUUAGAACAGCAGCAAUAAAAGUAAUCACUGUUCAGUUUUAAAUGCCAAAGUACACUUUUAGAGUAAAUUCUAUAUAACAAAAUAAUUGCUGAAGCUGAAUGAUCUUACAAUAAGUUUGCAAACAGAACUGAUAUGAAUUCCUUAUGUAAAAAAUACCAUUUACUGUGCAGCCCAGAUUUAAAUAAAAGACAAAUAGUGUAUCAAUAGUAUUUACUAUAUAUUUACAUAUAAUACUGUGAUGAAAUGAAAGAGUCAAUUAACAUUAUGUUACAAAAUGAAUAAACCCAUUUAAAGGUACCAGUACCUUUUACAGUAUCACAUUUAUGGAACUGUUCUCUUACAUCUCAAAGAUCUGUGAUAUGAUCAUGAGUUAACACGAGGACACAGACAAAUAAACCCUGGAACUGGAGCACAUGCUGAUGUGUUGACUCCCAUUUCAGCAAGACACUGCAGGGGCACCAACUUAAAGCAUGUCAGCAGCACUGGUUUCAGAGGGGUAAAACUCCAGUGCCCUCCCCAGUUCCUCACUGGUCAGGGCCUCGUUUCAUGGGAUUCCACUGACAACACAACAAACUACGACAGCUGGAAGCACACAGGGAGAGGUAUCACAUACCUCACACGUAUUUCUCCUGAAGGUGAACCAGAGCUGGUUGCCCAUUGCCAGUUCCUGAGUUAGGAGACAAUGGAACCCUCCUUUCAUUUUUAUAUACACUGACACAAGAGCCUGCUGUCACAUGGUGCUUUGAGCAUUAUUUGGGAUCAGCUACUUAACAGGAACUGCACCAGUUUGUGUACCUGACAUUUCUUCUAGCUAAACAAGCUGCAAUGAAGAAUUCUAUAGUCUUUACAUAUUGCUUGUGAAAUGGUAAUAUUACACUGCUUAAGCAUUUUUAAAUCACUUGAGAACUGAAAGUUUUAUAUAACCAUACGAUCACUUUAAAUUGGCAGGAUAAAUCUAUGCAAGUGAAAUAUUGGCAAAAUAAUAAACAUGAAAAAAAUUAAAAUUAGAACUUAAGAAUCAUCAGCCAGCCAAGAUAAAAAUUCUAAGCUGCUCUCUCCCUUUCUAUAUCCUCUCCCAGAAUAAAACUUAACAGAGGACAAGAGGGAAUGAUGUGACACUUCACCUUUGUUAAUCCAGUUAGUAAAGCAGAUGUAGGUUCAAGUAUUUAAUUCCACACAGCACUAAUAAAUAGAAGUAAACAAACAGGAUGAGAAUAACAUUGUAGUUAAAGUACUGCAAAGAACCUUUGUUUCUGAUUGAGCACCGUUCUUAUAUUAUUAUUUUGAAACUCCCAAAGGCAAAAAGGAAGGGAAAUAUUGUUAGUGAGAAAUGCUCUCAGACCAGAUCACAUGCAAGCCUACAGAGAAUGUUACAAAGUUGGACUGGGUAAUUAAGGUUUUUUUCUUCCAAGUGUUAGAAAGCAUCAGCACAUUACAAUUUUUGCUCUGCAUAUAACUAGAGCAAGAUGUUACACCUAUGUUUUCACUUCCCUCAUUCUGAGAGCCACACACACACACCCAAAGCAAAACACUGAUGGUUUGGUUACAAAACUAUAUGCAGUACAUAUCUGAACACAGUUCCUUCCAUUUAAGGCCAUGUGUUCAUUUAAAGACAUUCUUAUCAAUUACAAGCCUCCCCUUUAAUUGCUUAAGAUCCAAUAGAAAAGCAAAUAUACAAAUAUCAGAAGUGCUGAUCCUGAGAUGAAGUAUGGGAAAUUCUGGUCCAGUUUGAUCCUUAUUCAAACUUCUGUUUCAGUUUCUUCUGGAAGAGAGCUGGUAGGAUGGAGAGGAUGGCUAGAAACAUGAGAACAAAAACAGAGUUCCAGGAAACAGCCUCCCCUGCUGUUGUAAGCUGGUACAGCGUUGUUCCUGCCUUAAUGGCUACAAAAGACGGUGGUGCCACACCU